CCGACUAGUUCCGGGUUCGAAUCCCGGGCAACCC
rnacentral:tRNA from 1 species